AUCCAAUUCAGUCCAAUCCAACGCAGUAACUAUCAUUAGCGACAUCAACUGUAGAACGCAGCGGAAGUAUUUGUUCGUACCUUUUUACGGAAGCGAUUCGCGUUACAACUCGAUGAGCCCGAAUCGUCGAGAUUGAUUCACGUGUCCUUUAAUCGUCCUUGAUUAAAUCUUCUCACGUUCUAAACUCACGAUGGAUCGAACUACAAACGAGCACGAUUACAAAUUCAUCGUUCAAGUUCCUCUUAGAAUAGGUUGAUGGAUGAUAUGGUUUCUCUCUUUUGUUUUUUUAUUCUUUUUUUUUUCCAUUCUUGUUCUAUGUGGGAUCGCCAUUCUAAAUUCUAAAAUCCUAAUAGCGUUUGAGAUAAGGCCAAAUCGGUUAUUAAUUGUUAUCCUAAUAUGACUAGAAUUUAUCUCUAACUAGCUUUCUAAUUUGAAAGCGAGAUUAAUCUCAAUUCAAUUAGAUAAUAUAAUAUCCGUCGGAUCGAACCUGCUUAUGGGCGUACCCGAUUCGAUUUAACCGAAUGCCAACAUCAACCAAUAUCGUCGUCAUCAUUUGCCGUUAUCAUCCUCAAUUCGAAUAUCUAUAAUUAACUAGAUUAAAUAUGAUCAAAUGAAUGAAAAAGGAAUAUUGCUCAAAAAUGUGUACGAGAAGAUUCGAUUCACGUCUGAUCCCUCUAAUUAAGUUCCAAUGGCUUGAGCGAGAACUUAUUUAAUCCAAUCCCAAUUAUGAGCUAAAUUAUUUGAUCCCUACAUGUGAGAUGGUAACGUAUGUUACUAAAAGAUCAAUGUAAUUGAAAAUGAUCCGUGAAUAAAAUUGAUGAGAUAAGGACUGAAUAAAAAAAUAUUAAGCAACUAGAUUUCAAAUUUGAGAUUUCGGAUAUCAAUUAGUAGGUUCUUAUUGUCGUAUAUCGCGGAUUGUAGUACAGUGACUUUUAUUUACCUACUAUUCUUAACUUUCAUAUGCCACCUCCCCUAGAAUAGAGCCUAUCCCUGUGUUUAACUUUGUUUUCAUAGUGUGAAAUUGAAAGAGUGUGAACCCUUUUUUUUUUUUUUUGAAAGGAAAAUGUAGAUGAGGGGACAAAUGAGUCUUAAUUUUUUUUUCCUUUUUACAGAUUAUUAUAAAGAAACAGAGUGAAAGAAAACUAAAAAAAUUUUGCAGCAAUUUUGUGGCGGACGUAAAAUUAAUGAUUUGAAAUAAAUAAACAUUAGAACUUACCGAGAUAAAGUUGAAUUUACAUUAUAGUCUUUAAAUAUCCAUAAAUUGAUCACGGUCAGAAACUCAACUCUAUACUGGAUUCAGAUUUUGGCCUUUAUUUAGACUCAUUUGGAAUUGCGCAGGAAAAAAAAAAAAAAUCUAUUUAUUUUUAUAAAAUAUGAUGUCUACAGUUCAACUAAAAAAUUACAUUUGGCCCUACUUUUAUAGGGCUUAAUUAAUGUGGGGAAAAAGAAAAGGGGAGCCUAUAUAUUGUACUAGAGUGUUGUCUUAAUCUUGUUAUUUGGACUUGGGCUCGACAUGUUUUCCGUAGUGGAACAUUGAUUACAUUUACAUUCCUAUGCUUUACUGUUUACAAAUAAAUUAAUAAUAAAAAAUUUCAAUCAAUGAGAAUCUUAGUAAACCUUAAAAAAAAAAAAAAAAAUACAUACAAAUAUUAACUCUAAAUCGUCUUAUUUUCCUCUCCAGGUAUAUUAAAAACCACAUAAAAAACCCUUUUUUAACAAAUGGGGUAACCUCUCCUCUUCCCACCUCAACAAUGGCGCACCACCCCCUCCGCUUCUCCUCCCUCCUCCGCCCCCUCCUCCUCCUCUCCGCCGCGCUCUCACUCCUCCUCCUCCUCCUCCUCCUCCUCCGCUCCCCCUCUUCCCCCUCCACCACAACCACCAGCUUCGCCGCCGCUCCACCGUCGACGCCGGAGACGACGAAGACCUCGCCGCGGCACCUCCUUUUCGGGAUCGCAUCCUCCUCCCGCUCCUUUUCCCGCCGCAGGGAGAUCCUCCGCCUCUGGUGGCGCCCCGGGGCCGCCCGCGGCGUCGUCUUCCUCGACUCCCCGCUCCCCAGCUCCGACGAUGGCGACGACCGCGCCCUCCCCCCCACCCGCGUCUCCGCCGACGCCUCCCGCUUCCCCUACUCCUUCCGCGGCGGCCUCCGCUCCGCCAUCCGGGUCGCCCGCAUCGUCAAGGAGCUCGUCGACGACCCCCCCGGCUCGUCGUCCUCCUCCGACGACGACCAUGGCGACGUGCGGUGGGUCGUGCUCGGGGACGACGACACCGUGUUCGUCCUCGAGAACCUGGUAGAUAUCCUAGCGAAGUAUGAUUGGCGGGAGUGGUACUACGUCGGGGGGAGGUCGGAGAUGGCUGAUCAGAACGCGAAGCACUCGUUCGGCAUGGCGUUCGGGGGCGGGGGGAUCGCGAUCAGCUACCCCCUCGCUAGGGUUUUGGCUAGGGUUUUGGAUUCAUGCUUGAUGAGGUACCCCCAUCUCUACGGGAGCGACGCGAGGAUCUAUGCUUGCUUGGCCGAGCUUGGGGUGGAGCUCUCCUACGAGCCCGGGUUCCAUCAGGUUAUAAAAAAAAAAAAUGCUUAUUUUUGCUUCCUUUUUUCGGCCAACUUCGCCAUUUUUAUUUGCUCUGUUGAUGAUAUACUUUUUAUAUUGUUUGGAACUUCAUUGUAUUAAUUGAUUCCUGUUCUUGUUCAAUCAGUAAACUUUACUUGUAGACAUGAUCAAAAUCUGAAUUUUUCUGGGUAUUUGUCGAUCUUUUACAUGAAAUUGAACUUGAGGAUACGGGGUUCUUACCGUAACAAUCAUGAAAAUGAAAUUAAAACAUCAAAUCAUAUUACUCCUUCAUCCUCAAUUGCAUAAACUCUGUCCCCAUCUUAGCCCCUAAUUGCCAUUUCACCAUCGCUCCUCUAGCUUGAGAAUGCUCCUUUAUUUUUGUUUUAGUCGGGUUUGAAAAUUUUGAGAUGUUUCUAGUACUGAUUUAGGAAAAUCAAAUGCAAUCUGUUACAAAAAUUUGAUGGUCGGGAGCGUAUCUUUCGAUCAAUCAGCUAUCUUGGUGGAAACAGGGAGUCAUGGGGGUCUUCAAGUGUAGCAUUAGUUGCUGACGCCAAUUUUCUCCGUUUACUAGAUUGACCUUCACGGAGACAUUUCUGGGCUGUUGACUGCACACCCGCUAAGCCCUUUAAUAUCGCUCCAUCAUUUCGAUAGAGUUGCUCCACUGUUCCCCGGCAUGAACCACACAAUGGCCUUGAAGCACUUCUUCAAAGCAGUUGAAGUCGACCCACGGGGGAUUCUACAGCAAACUGUUUGUUACGACCGAUUGCGAUCGCGCACAGUUUCAGUUUCUUGGGGUUAUGCAGUUCAAGUAUUUGAAGGCAACCAGUUGCUUCCUGAUGUCCUCUCUGUACAGAAGACAUUUUUCCCAUGGAAAAGAGGUCGCAAUGCUUCUUCUUAUGGUGUUUAUAUGUUUAACACCAGGGAGUAUCCAAGAGACCAGUGUCAACGACCCACAAUUUUCUUUCUAAAAAAUAUGUUGGUCGAGAAGGAUAGAAUUCAAAGCAAUUAUAGUAGGCAUUUAUCUGGAAAGUGCUUGCUAAGCCCCAACUCAGCAAGGAAUCUACGGAUUGUCACAGUGAACUCCCAGAGACUUAUUCGGACAAUAGGGAAGGUACUGUGCAUAGUUCUCUAUUUCUCAUUUAUGUUUGGCCACAUUAAAACUUUUACGCAACUGAUGUUAAAAUAAAGCUACUUGAAAAGGUAUUAACUAGAUUUUUUAUUGAGGCCUUGUUUGGGAUUUUGUUCUUCAAAGGCAGUCGCUUUGAUAUUUUAGAGCUCCGAAAAAAAAUUGAAAACACUUUAGAGAUCCCUUCUCAAUGCUACAAAAUGUCAGUCAGAACUCUCACCGGAGGAGGACCUUGCCCUGUUAUUCUUCGAUGGGGUUUCCCCAUAGAGAGAGGAGUUCUGAAAUGCUUUUUAUUUUUAUUUUAUUUUAUUUUGUGGAGCUCUAAAGCAUUAAAUCAGCUCUAUUUGGAGAAUGCAUUCCUAUAUUGCUUAAGAUCACCCAAACGGCCAAACAGCUCCAUGCUGAAGCUUGAAAUUGGUGCUUCUGCUUCUAGUGACUAUAAGGUCAUUUCUAUGACCGGACAUAGGAAAAGUUGUUUUAUUUGCUAAAUAGGGCCUAAGUCCCUCAUAAGAAGCAAUAUUGUAGGUUUUCAUCUUUAACUUUCUUUUUGAUAUUUACAGGCUCCGAGGCGACGUUGCUGCAACGUAUUGCGUUCUUCCUCUGAUAUUUUCAUGAACAUAGAGAUCAGGAAAUGUAAAGAUGAUGAGUUGAUCGCCAUGCGACCAUAGUAACCAGGAUUUAGCUGAGUAGCAAAAGUUCUGCUGAAAAUUAGCUGCCAGGGUUCCUUCUUCACAUAUUUGUAGGUAAACAGCUAAACAUUUUCAUCCUGCCUGCUUUUCGUAAAUUUGCGACAACUAUCUAUAAAAUUGCAUUCUUCGUUCCUAGUCUUUAACUUAAGUUUUAAUGCUCCCACUUGCUAUUUCAUACUCUUGUUCUCUUUAGUGUCAUGUUCUUAUGUAAAAUUUGCAGCCCAACUUCCAAAUGCUCUUUUUUUUUUUUUUUUUUUCCUUCUCUUUGGGCCCUUUCAUUUAUCAUCCUAGCUGCUCUGUAUAAUUUUUUUUUUUUUUUUUUUUCCUUCUCUUUGGGCCCUUUCAUUUAUCAUCCUAGCUGCUCUGUAUAAUCAAGUUAAUUCUGAAUUUGAGCUUGCUUAGUUGAUGUAACUUUGCAUUUCUGAAAAUCAUCUAUACCCAGUUAUGAACUUCAUAAAAACUCCGCAGGCCCUUUCCGCUCUAAUCAGACAAAGAAUUUUAAGGAAAAAAAAGGGGAAUGUCAAGUAAAACACUUCAGGAUAAAUAUGUCCUAGAUGGAAUUCCAAAUUCAUUAGUUACCAAAGUAGAAUCUCCUCAUAAGGGCAAGGACUCUGGUGGACUCUGUUGGAGUCAUCUGGUAAACAAAGUGUUGGAUGAGUAUAUUUGUUUGCCACCAAAUUCAAAUUGCAUAUCUAUUAGCAGAGUAAUCUGAAGGGAAAUAAUGAGCAUCUUUUUACAAAGCAUAUUGUGUACGAGAAAAUAGAUACAAGCACUCAGAAAAGAAGUAAUUUGCUUCCAAAUAGGAUAACAUAGUGAUAGCCCAAUAUUGCACCCUUGACUCUCUUGCUCGUCAUUUUCUUAUCAGCUUGUAUGCAAAACUCUUCUUUUCGACUGCCCGUAUCUAUCUUAUUGUGCUUAAUAUGUUUUCUACAAAGAUUAUGGAGAUUCUUCGUCUAAAUUCCGCUACUAAAAUAUCUGCGAAGUGGGUAGAAUUUUCACCACACAAACCGGGCCUCUACUGAAGCUCAGUUUUGUCAAGACUUCUGAAGAGAUAGAUCAUGCUAGCAGAUGCAGUGAAACAGAAACCAGCCUUAUCUUACCUAUACACUCUAUGUACAUCCCAAGAACUUUCUAUGUCCUUUCAGUGAUUAGCAUCUAUUUUUCUCCCAUAUAUAGUCUUAUUUUACUAUUACCUGCAACUUUCAAUACUGAAAAUUGCAUUCAAGUGUUCUAAUUACUAAGCAAGAAAGUGCCUUUCUCUUUAUUGUUCUUUUCAAUUAGACUUUGGCCACUUCAGUUUGUACUUCUAAUCAGUUCAUGUCACUUGCAUUCUCCAACGCAUUUACUUUUUGCUGUUUUUAUUUCUGAUUCGACCCUAUUAAAUGCCCUUCUAUCAACAUCUUAGGAAUUAACCAUCUUUAAUUUUCCUUUCCAGGGGCAGCACCAAACCUAACUUUCCGCAGAAUGAGUUGGGGUCAUUUGACCAGAUACUCACAUUGUACACAGUGCAGCUAGCACCAUUGUUCUUCUUCCUAUACUGCUAUUUAAGGGGAUACAUGAGAUAGAUAGGUUUUUCGAGUCGAAUACAACUAUCUUUUUUUGUUGUUUAAUCAUAGUUACAAACACAUAUAGAAGAAAAGGCUUAGGGUUUUCAUACACUUACACAUACAAGCUUUUGGCAUUGGCUUUUGCAAACAUAUUUACAUGUUCUUUGUUGCUAGAAAUAGUCCCCCUUUGCCAAAAAACACUUUGUAAAGUUAUUUUGGAAUCAACAUUUUAGUUCCGAAGGUUGCACCUCCGCUCGAUUGUUUCGUUCUGUUUUGUUGAGAUUGUAAUUAAUUGCUGUUUUGUUUCCACCUGAGCUAAAAUGUUAAUGUUACUAUUUCACCAAACACACUUAAGAUUAUUUUGUACUGUACUUGUUCUCCUAAUGAGGCUUAACACUUCUUUUGAGAUUGAAAAGGAAGUAAGGAAAGAGAGUAUUAUUAAAAGCAAAUUAUAGAGGAAGGAAAAUUUUAAACCGCGUAAAAACAAUAUUAGUUGGAUAUUAUUACCUAUGAUUAGUAAUAAUUCUUUCAAGAGAGACUAAUACAACAAGGUGAUACAUAUUAAAAUUUGAUAUUAAGUUUGGUUCUAAUCCUAAGCUGAUUAGGCCUUUAGUUUUAUCCUCUUUCUUUUUUUUUUUUCUGAAUGUUUACAUGGAUCAAGGGGUUAUUUGAUGUGUAAAAAAAAAGGGGGGGCUAUUUGAUUUUUUAUAUAAUUGCAAAUUAUUUAGAAAAACUAGUAAAACUUGGGGUUCCUAAUAAUAAUAUAUACUUUGUUAAAGUUCCUCAUCAAAACAUGACAUGGAAAUCAUUUAAUUAAAGAUUCUAAUCCGUCAAUUUGCAAAAUUAUUUAUACAAUUAAAUGCUGUGCUUUUUGUGGUCUAGUAGAUCUUACAAUGCCCAGAAUUAAAAGAAAAUAUAAUAUUACCAUGUUGCAACAUUUCUUUUUGUUUUUGUUUUUUUUUUUUUUUUAUCUUUUCCAAAUUUCGAUACGUUUGACUAAGACUUUUUGGUAGCUAACAUUUCACCUACUCAAUUGUGAAUCAUAUGUAUGCACUACAUAAGAUAAUCAUUUGAAAUAUUCAGGAAGAACAUCAAUUUCAUCAAUCACAUUAUUUUGGAGAGAGUAAAUAAUUAGCAAGUUUAUAUAAAUAUUGCUAUUCACCUAACAAGCCAACUAAGAUACCAGUUUUCUAUUUCUGAAACCAAACUUGAUACACAACUUUUUAAUUUUUAUUUCAGAAGCUUCAAACAUAUCUUAAUUUUCUUAGACUAUUUUCUGUUUUUUUUUUUUAAGUCAAUGUACUGCACAAACUACAAUGUGUUUAUUAUACAAUAUGCAUGCAUUUGAUUUACAUAAGUUUGGCAUGUCACCAUUAUUAGCAAUGGCUUUAAUAUCUGUGCUUGGUAGGUGUAUUUUAAGUAAUGAAGAAAAAAAAAACUACAUGUUCUUCACGUAGCAUAACAUUUGCUUAGUUUUCUUAGUAGUUUAAUACCAAUUAUUAUUUAAGAAACUAAGCUCUUAUAUAUAUAUGUAAAAUAUGUUUCAUGAACUUCCCUAGUUAAUUACACCAUGUGACAAGGACAUGUUCACUGCAAAAAUAUUCUCUCUUAAAAAGUCACAAGUCAAUAAGACAUUAAUGAUCACUUUUGUGGAUCUUUUCUCAUCCACAUCUUAACAUGCACAUCUAGAAUGUCAACUCUACUUAUCCAAGAGAACUUAUUUUAAACCCCCCCAAAUUUGAAUUCAAAUGUCUUAAUCCACCAACUAUAAGAACAUCAAUUACAUCAAAGAAGUUCACUUCUCCAUUUCCUUCUUCAAAAAUUUUGUUUCAGAAAAUCUAAACCACUUCUCCUCUUUCUGUUUUGGCCUCUCCUCUGCUGCCCCUUCGAUUGCGAUGGCGAGAAUGGCAAAUGCUUUCCUUGCUUUGAUGACGAUGGCCGCAAUCGUCGAGGUAGGAAUCUGCGCUGAUCACAUCAUCGGAGCACCGGGCGGCUCAUGGGAUCUUCAGACCAAUUUCUCAAAAUGGGCUUCCUCUCAAAAAUUCCUCGCUGGCGAUAACCUCAGUAUGCUCCUCUUUCGUGCUUUUCCUUUUCCUUUUAUUUUAAUCGAACCUCUGUGCUCCCUUCUCCUGCAAAAUAAAUGUUUAUUAUUGUUUGUAUUUUGUAUUCUGUAUUUUUGUAGUCCUUAAAAAAGUUCAUUGAGGUGAUCAACAAUGCCAAGUUCUCUAGUUCUCGAUCUUCUUGUUUGCUUUAGCAAAGAGCAGUUACCAUUAAUUCCUACUAGUUUUGACUCUGAAACAAACAUAGAUAGAAGUCCUUUUCAAAACAUUUAUGACCUUAAAACUAUGAAACAAAUAAACAGCAUUCGAAACGGAAAUGUAUAUAGAGGUAAAUGUAACACAACCAAAUCCCCAGUUGAAAUUUUUUCUAGCUUAAUAAGUAGUUUAGUUCAUCAGCUAUCCUCCUAAACUCUAUCUGCAGUAGUUGAAACAAUGUGAAACUGGUAAACUAAUCAUAGCAUUUUUUUCGCUAUUUGCAGUAUUUGUGUAUGGGUCAACUCAUAGUGUUCUUGAGGUAACAAAGGGAGACUAUGACACAUGCACAACCACCAAUCCAUUAUCUUCAGACAACAGUGGCAACACGAGUAUCGCGCUGACGGCUUCGGGCACCCGGUACUUCAUCUGUGGGACACCCAUGCACUGCUCCAGCGGCAUGAAGAUCGCGAUUCGCAUCUCGUCUCCGAGCUCGCCGCCCCCCGUGCUUUCUCCCCCUGCCCCCACGUCGCCCUCUUCGGUCUCAUCUCCGCCCCCCGUGGCCUCUCCUCCUCCCCCGCAGAAAUCUGCGGCCUCCGCUUACGAUCUUCGCGUGCAAAUUGCCGUUGCAUUCGGGCUCGGUCUCGCAGUUCUGAUGCUUGUGGCCCUCUGAUUCAUGCCUGUCUCUUUUUCUUUUUUUUUCGGAAGUUCUGCUGUUAUUUCGCUGCUGCGCUUUUGUUUUGCUUUCUUGCAUAUGUGACAGACAUGAGGUGAGAUAAGAGUGGAAUUUAAGUUGCGCAUUUGUUUUCGAUGUUUAUUUUUCUCCGAUUGGAAGUUUAUGGAAACAAUUGCUGUGAAAUUCUCUGCACCAUUGAAUUUCUCGAUUGCGGGUAUUUCGCUUCUUAGUUUGGCAAAUUGUUUGUGACAAAUUGUUUGUCUAGCUCAAAGUGCAAUGCUGGGUAAAAUAUUAAAAAUCGCGAGUAAAGUUGACCGAAUUGAUUGCAUGAUUAAAAAUGUGUGUAUGAUUCGCAUGCCAACCAACUCGAGAAUCUGCAAAAAUUAUAAUUUAAUAAGCUCAGAUUCCAUCUGACCAAGAAAAGCUCUAGAAUUUUGAUCUCUGCCGUUCAAGAAUCAUGGACAGCUAAUUACAUGAUCCAAAUUUUAAGAUUUUGAAACUAUCCUGCUUUGCUGUUCAUGGCAGCAGAUUGACAGAUAGAUAAAAGAUGCUGGCAAUUCUCAGAAACAGGAAUUUCUUUUUCUGUUCUUGCAAUCAUGCCAACUGUUGGUACAAUUUUCAGUUGCUGCAGUGAGAUGAAACUAGGAUGUGUUCAAGGAACAAAGAUGAAAAUAGAUGCGGCGAGAAGAUAUUUUUAGUCCCGAAAGUAGAAGCUCCGGUUUGAAGAUUCGUCAUCUGCUGUUGUCGAAAGCUAAUUUGUUAAUUGAAUAAACCGUUAAGUGCUUUUUCGAACAAAACUACUCAAACGAUUCGUUAUUGUUGUUAAGCUCAAUUCGGCUAAUAAAGUGUUACGGAUAUUUUUCGUAAACUUGAAAUGGAAGAUUUAAAAAAAAAAGUUACAAAUGUAAUUAAGUAUCCGUACUGGGAAGGAAAUGGGAUUAUGCUUUGUAUAAUCUGAUGUAACAUCUAAAGAAACCACUAAAAAUUAGUAUGGAUAUACUUCUUCCUAAAAAAUAAAGCAUAAUCGGAUUAUUCUUUAUAAUCGGAUUAUGCUUUGUAAGUUAGUAUGGAUAAUUAUUCUUUAUAAACGCCUUGUCGAAAUAACCCUUAUACUCCUUUUUUUUUUUGUUUAGCAUCCCUAGAAAUUUUUUUAUUCUCCUUGGUAUGGAUACUCGAAAUUUUAAUCCGACCCUCAACCCGAACCAGAACGGAGUGAAUUUAUCUGAUGCUAAAUAGAUAUGGUUUCGGAUAUGGAUAUCAAAAAUAAAAAUCCAACGGAUAUGAAUACGGAUAUUGAUUUUGACUGUACCCGACCCGAACCCGAAUUUAUUUUACAUUAUAUAUAAUAUGUAUAGAAAAAUUUGAUGUUACAUUUGAAUUUAUAUUUUAGAAAUUUAAAUUUAAUAUAAAAUAUUUUAAAAUAGUGAAAAGAGAAAUAAUUGUUUUGGGUUUAGACUUUCGGGUUCGGGUUCGGGUUUCGAAUAUUUGGUCGGGUUUUGGUUUGGAUAUGAAUUUUUAAAAUCCGUCGGAUUCGGGUUUGGAUUCAUAUUUCGUGUUUUGGAGUUGGGUUCGGAUUUUUAAAAAUUCGCUCUAAAUCUGACCCGUUGAUAUUCCUAUGAAUAGCAUCUCCUUAAUCUUUUUUUUAAUUUUAUUUUAAGUAAAAUUCUUAAAAAAUAAAUCGGGACUAUAUGUGAAGCCUUCGCAUCUCCUUAAUUUAAUUUAAUAAAACAUUAAAUUAUUUUGCUUUUUCAAACAUAAAAAUUUCAAAAAAUAAAAACACUAGCAUGUUAUGAAAUCUGAUUUUUUUUUUUUUCGAAAAACAACUUUUUCUAAAACCGAAUAAAAGAAAAUUAAUUUUCCAGCUAAAAAAAAAAAAGUCUCGAAACACAUCACUACAUGAAUAAUAAUAACUGCCACUCAAAACCCAAACUAUGUCCUAAUUAGUUAUAUUCGGUUAACAUAAUAUAUUUUCCGAUGUUCUAAACAUACUAGGAAUAUAAAAAGCUCUACGUACGUAAACUUGUAAACAUACUAGGAAUAUAAAAGUUUUACGUAAACUGCAUAGAUAUAUAUAAUGCAUGCGUGAUGAAUAUAUAGUUUUGUUGAUUUUCUGAGAUUCAUUAUUCUCUGCUAUGGUGAGCCGCGCUGAGGGAUCGUCGGAGGCGGGCCCCAGCCGCCGACCGACGUGCGCGGGGCUCCCCGCCGUCGCCGUCGCCGUCGCCGUCGAGGCCGAGAAGAAGAGGAGGAGAAGGAGGAGGGAGCGGCGGACGCCGCGAAAGAAGAAGAUUACGCUGCAGCCGCAGCCCGCGACCGCCGAAGGCCGCGCCGCGCAGCUGAUGGACACGAUGGAGCAGCGCGGGGUCGGGCGCGGCGGCGCUCCGAUCCACGCGAUGGAGAAGUCUCUCACGCAGACCGACGUCGACAUCGAGCAGUGCCGCCUGCAGCUGACCCCGGACCUCGUCAACAGCCUGCUGGGUUCGCCGAUCCUGACCGACGCCGAGAAAGCGGAGCUGCGGUCGGGGACGCAGGGCCUCGACGUCGCGGCCGUCGACCGCGCGAGCAAUGAAUACGACAUGGUGUUCAAGUUCACCAGCAGCUGCAGGCAGUACAGGAUCGUGAAGUGGGCGCAGUUCUGCGUCGACCACGAUCUCACCGCGGGGCAGACGAUGGCCAUCUGGGUCUACCGGCAGCCGCAGCCGCCGCCGCCGGUGCCGAACACGGGCGAAAGCGGAAAGCUCGGGUUGGUUUUGCUCUACUACGAGAAAGGCGACGAGAAGCAGAAGAAGAUGGAUGCUGAACUUCUUGACAGUGGAUUUGUAGACUGCGUGAAAGCGCUGCUGAUGAUGGCCCGUGGGGAGUGAUUCUUGAUAUGAGUCGUCGUCGGAUAGCACUAUUAUUUAAAAUUUUUUUAUAAAUAAUUCUGUCAGUUUUUAUAAUUAUAAAAAUAAUCUUUAAAAAAAAAUUAUAAAAAUAGACCUCUAAUAUAUUAUAUUGAAUUUUUUUAAAAAUAAAUAAUACAGGCGGUGGGUGAGUUAUCGUAUUUAAAUGUGGUAAAUUAUUCACAGUUUUUAUAACUCCUAAUAUUAUUAUAGAGACAUAAAACAUAAAAGAAGAAAGAAAAGAAAUAAAAGAGAAGAAAGUGAUAAAUGAUUUAUCGUUUUUAAAAACAGUAACUUUAUUUUAGAUUUUUUUUUUUUUGCUCUGUGUUAUUCUUCAGUAUUAAAAUUUAUUUUAGAUUUUUUUUUUUUGCUCCUCAGAUUUUAUGAAAAAAUAUUGUUUUCUGAACAGUUUGUGUUUCUGUUUCUCAACUUGAUUGUCUGAGAUUUGAAUUAAUGAAGAAAAUGUUUUUUUUUUUUUUUUUUUUUUNGUAACUUUAUUUUAGAUUUUUUUUUUUUUGCUCUGUGUUUUUCUUCAGUAUUAAAAUUUAUUUUAGAUUUUUUUUUUUUGCUCCUCAGAUUUUAUGAAAAAAUAUUGUUUUCUGAACAGUUUGUGUUUCUGUUUCUCAACUUGAUUGUCUGAGAUUUGAAUUAAUGAAGAAAAUGUUUUUUUUUUUUUUUUUCUUUUGAGAGAUAGGUAACAUGCUAUUCGUUUCGUUUAUUUCAUUUAGAAAUAAAUUUAGCUAAAAAUAUAAAUCAACUAAGAUUCAAAUUUAGAAACUCGGGUAUCAACCACCAAGUCUGUUGUCACUUGCUCCGGGGACGGUCGGUAAUAGCUGUUGUUCCUCAGUAGCUAAUUAUUGUAUUUUUAAAGAAGAUGGAAUAUGCUAGAUGAAAUUUCAAUUAUUUUUAAAUUUUAUGCAAAAUGAUUUUGUAAAAAAUAGUAUGCAAUAACUGUUUUCCACGCUUGAAAGUAUUAUAUUGCACUAAAAAUCAUAUAUCUGCACGGAAUUUGAACUAAAUGAAUAAAAUCAUACAUAGACUCGAAUUAAAUAGAAAAAUUAAUUAUAUUGCAAGCAUAAUGGAACUCGAGUUUAAAUAUUUUUUUUCUAAUACUAUAAUAAGUAAUAUAAAAUAAUUGGUGAUAAAAGAAUUAUAUUUUUAAUAUUUAUAUAUAUUCGAUAAAAACAAUCUGAUAAUUUUGGAAGAAAAAUAAUAAUUCAAUUAUAAUGCAGGAAAAAAAAUCUAAGUCAACAGUAAGUUGAAUCUGCCACGUAGGCAUCUAAAAAGUAAUUAAUUAAUAGAUAUUUUAAUAAAAAAUUAAAUUAAUACUCGCAUUCGUUGAACAACCGUGGCGGAUCUCUCAACGCUCUCCUUCUCCUUCUCCUCCUCCUCCUCCUCAAAGCACCUCCUCCCCCACUGUGAUGCGAACGAAGAACCCUACCAAACCCUACCCACGAUUCCCAUCCUCUCCCGUUAAUCCCUCCUCCCUCAUCUCUCCCACCUCCUCCAUUAGAACUCUCUCUCCAUGGAGCUCUACUUCACCAACCUCUGCAAUUGGUCCUCGGAGCACGCCACUCGGUUCCAGGUAACUUCUCUGUCCUUUUCUUCUUCUUCGGCCAAAAAGAUCGAACCUUUUCUGGGGUUCGAUCCCUUCUUGUUGAGGAAAAAGCUUCCCUUUUGGGGUGGUGUCAAGUGUUGCUCCUCCUCCUCCUCUUUGGAGCGAGGCCUCAAGCCGAAGCCCAUGCCCAGAAUCAAGCCAAUUGUUGAAACCCCAGAGCCAAAAUCGGAUUUUGAUGAUGCCCAUUCGGGGAAAACGGGAUCUUCGUCUCUCUGUGAUCAGAUUGAGAAGUGGGUCUUCUUCGGGAGGUACGAAGAAGCCCUCGAAUUGUUCGAAUUCUUGCGGUGUAAGAGUAAUAUAGUAGUUGGUUCCAGCACGUAUGAUUCGUUGGUGAAUGCGUGCAUCGGUUUGGGAUCGAUCCGAGCGGCGAAGAUGGUGUUCCGCCACAUGCUCGACACUGAUUUUGAGUUCGAUCAGUAUAUGCGGAAUCGGAUCCUGCAGAUGCAUUUGAAAUGCGGCAUGCUCGUCGACGCCCGCCGCUUGUUUGACGAAAUGCCCGAGAGAAGCGCGGUGUCGUGGACCACCAUGAUCACGGGGCUCAUCGACGCCGGCUCAUACGAGGAGGCGUUCGAGCUCUUCCUGCUGACGUGGCAGGAGCAGCUGGAUGCUGGGCCCCGCAUGUUUGCCACUGUUGUUCGCGCAGCGGCGGGUGUAGGCUCUGUUUCUGCUGGCCGGCAGUUGCAUACCUGUGUUGCGAAGAUGGGUUUGUAUGGAAAUGUCUUUAUAUCUUGUGCUCUUAUUGAUAUGUAUAGUAAGUGUGGGUGCAUUGAAGAGGCUCAGUGGGUGUUCGACGAGAUGCCGGAAAAGACCGUCGUUGGAUGGAACAGUAUAAUAGCAGGGUAUGCCCUUCACGGAUACAGUGAGAGAGCCUUAGAGUUGUACUAUGAGAUGCAGAGUUCUAAUGUAAAGAUGGAUCACUUCACUUACUCGAUUGUAGUUAGGAUUUGUGCGCGAUUAGGAUCACUGGAACACGCAAAACAAGCUCAUGCAGGUCUAGUCAGGAACGGUUUUGGGUUUGAUGUUGUGGCUAACACCGCCCUUGUGGAUUUGUAUUGCAAGUGGGGUCGGAUGGACGACGCGAGGAAUGUGUUUGAGAAAAUGCCUAAAAAGAAUGUUAUAUCUUGGAAUGCUCUAAUUGGAGGGUAUGGAAACCAUGGAAUGGGAGAUGAGGCUAUUAAGAUAUACGAGAGGAUGGUCAAAGAGGGAAUGGUUCCUAACCAUGUGACCUUUCUUGCUGUUUUGCAUGCAUGUAGUUACUCUGGUUUGUUAGAGAAAGGGAGGGAGAUUUUUGAACUGAUGGGUCGAGAUCCAAAAACAAAACCUAGGGCAAUGCACUAUGCAUGUAUAAUCGAUCUUUUGGGUCGAGAAGGGCUUUUGGAUGAAGCUUUUUCGAUGAUAAAGAACGCUCCUUUUAGGCCCACUGCAAACAUGUGGGCGGCAUUGCUUACUGCUUGUAGGAUUCACAAGAACUCCGAGCUCGGGAAAUUCGCUGCUGAAAAGCUUUUCGGAAUGGAACCCGAGAAAUUAAAUAAUUAUAUUGUGCUUCUAAAUAUUUACAGCAGUUCGAAUAGGAUGGAGGAUGCAGCGACGGUGUUGGAAACCUUAAAAAGGAAGGGCUUGAGAUUGCUUCCUGCUUGUAGUUGGAUUGAGGUCAGGAAAAAACCUUUUGGCUUUCUCUUUGGGGAUAAGUCUCACCCACAAAGUGUGGAAAUAUAUAGGAGGUUAGAUGAAUUAAUGGAAGAGAUAAAACAAAUUGGGUAUGUUUCUGAUGAAAAAACUUUGCUUCCUGAUGUGGGCGAGAAUGAACAGCGACUGUCAAAGCACCAUAGUGAGAAGUUAGCGAUUGCUUUUGGACUGAUAAACACCCCUGCUUCCACACCCCUGCAAAUUGCGCAGGGCCAUCGAUUAUGUAGUGAUUGCCAUAAUGUGAUUAAGCUCGCCACAAUUGUUACCAAAAGGGAGAUUGUGGUUAGGGACGCAAGCCGAUUUCACCACUUUAGACAUGGGACUUGUUCCUGUGGGGAUUAUUGGUGACUGUAGAUUUCGGAAUUCUUAGUUAAAUGAUCAUACAAGGUUAACUUCUCCAAUUCAUGUUAAUUUCGAGGUAUUUAGCAGUCUAAUCUACUUACAAUAUAUAUGUAUUUUUUUACAAUGAAAUAAUAGCUGAAUGAGCCUUUGUUGUUAAGGAUGUAUCAAAUUACUUUUCUUUCAAAUAUGUAAUUUGUAUAUGCCUUCUGAUUUAUUUAUUUUUUUCAGUGCCUUUUGUUUCUGUUUUUUCAGAUUUCUGCAUCCAAAUCUGUAACUGUUCGAUCUUUUUCUCUGUAUCUCAUUUGUUUGAUUAUGCUUCUAAUGUGAAUUAGUACCAUGAGAUUCAUUCUCUUAAUCCAACACUGAUUUUGCCUAUUACCAACCUACCAAGGAAAGAACUUGUACAUUUCUUGUUCUUUUAAUGUGACAUAUUUAAUUAUCAAAUUAGUUUAUCAAAAUCUCUGGCAAAAGAUAUAUUAGUUAUAUUUAGCUUGAUAACUUGUCUUCUACAAUAACUAGUCUUCUACAUUAUUUAAAGCAAUAGUUUUUUAUGAUUUCCUAGUUUCACCACCUUAGUUCUAUAUUCAUUUGUAUCUAUAGAAAUUCAUAUGAGCUUUAUUGCAUUAAAGCGCAACUAAUAGCUUAUCUUCACACAAUUCUGACAUGGAUGAUUAAAAAAGAAAAAAGAAAAGGUGGAGGUAAGGUCAAGUCACCACAAUGGGAAUAUUGCUACCCUGCUUUUGCUGUAGAUUUUGAACUAUUAGAGAGGGAAAAUAGAGGGAGAUUUCAAACUAUUAGAUAAGGAAAACAAAGGGAUAGGAUGGGUUAGAAAUUUAUUUGUACUUUUUGGCCCCAAAGCACAGGCUUUUAAUUUGCCAAGUGCUUUAUUUCUUUCUCAGAAAACCGUUUAAAUAUAUCAAUAUACAAGUUCAUUUUAUUACACUAUUAGACACGCAUCAUAGCAUAUUUACCGGCGAUUAUGGUUUUGCAUCCCAGAAAAACAUCAUCAAAUGCUCCCAGACUAAGACUUCUUCUAACAUGCUAGGACAUCAGGAAAUCUCCAGAGAACAUACAUUGGCAUCAGAAAAGUGAAUAUUUGGUGACCACCAAAGUCACAAACCAACCCCUUUGCCACCCUCUACUGCCAUUACUUGGCUAAUGUAACAAAAAGCUAAAAUUGCCUAAGUAGGAUGUAUAUAUUAUAGUCUCUAUCAUAUGGGUUGCAAGGUCAUCUGAUUCUAAGCUUUCCUUGCACUCCUAUGUAAGAAAGGAAUCAUGCUGAAAAGAAGGGAAAAAGAGAGGGAAAGCAUCAGAUUUGGAGCAUCUUUACGACAGCUAAUUUCUGCUCUGUUCACAACAGCACAAUCACUGUACAAUCUUUUUCACUUUAGCUCUCUUUUCACAUUAUUCACAAUAAAAGGGGUCUUCUUCAAUUGCCUAUUCCCAUUCAUGCCCAGUUAUCUCAUUCGGCAUUCUUAAUUUCUUAUUCUCUUCUAAAACACUGACAAAUGGCGAGAAUGGGAGGUAUUUUAAUCUGCAUGUUGAUUGUGAUCAUGGAUGCAGUUGCAGGUGUACUUGGUAUUGAAGCCCAGAUUGCGCAGGAUAAGGUACUAAUGGUUCACAUAAAUUACAAAAGUUCCUUUCCAGUUUUUUCAUUUACAAAUUUAGUCAUUGAAGUUUGUUCUGCAUAAUAAUCGAGUCCUGAAUUAAUCUAUUGUCGAAAUAAAAUUGCCUCAUUGUCAUCAUCAUUAGAGUUUGUUGCCAAGGCCUAUCUCAAAAAACUGCCAUGUCAGCGAACUCCAACGAUGAUGUUAAUAUGGCGGCUUUAUUAUAGAAAGUAGAUGAAGGGGAGUUAAUUGUUAGAAUGGACAAAUUUUGGGCAUGAUUGAGUCAUAGCUCCAAGGGCAUCACUGAAACUUUAAAAUGAGUUUGUGAUUAAAAUAUGCAAUGUCAUGAUUAGCAAAUGCUUUGCGUUUCCUUGUUGGGUGCUCGAUGAAAACUAAACUAAAAAAAAGGGGAAGCACUUAAGGGUGUUGAUCUUCGAGUGCAAAGAGCCGGUGCAUCAAGCCUACAAGCUCGGGCUUGCGGCAGCGGUUCUCCUUGCCAUGGCCCACGCAUUGGCCAACCUGCUCGGCGGCUGCGUCUGUAUCUGCUCCCAAGUUGAGUUCGUCCGUUCAUCGACUAAUAGGCAACUGGCUGCCAUGACCCUCCUCCUCUCAUGGUAAUUGUGCAAAUCUCGAUUUUAAUAUCGUUAUUGCAUGUUUAUUAUAUCCCUGCAAAAUCAUCUAUUCACAUACAUAAACUUCUCAUAUCUUGAUUUUAAUAUUAUUAGGCUAGUGCACUAAAUUUGACCACAUCAACCGUACAAAACACCAAUGUUGACAAGAGUUAAUGCGUCUGCUAAAAUCGCUAUUCUUUCAAAUGUGCCCAUGCCCUGGAAUAAGUUUCAUAUGCCUGCAAUCUUGCAAAUCCAAUUUAUGCUAUCAAUAUACAUUUUUAUACUCUUCAAAACUUGGAUUCUGCGGUAGCAUGUUCAAAUUGAAGUUACGUGCACGUGUUUAAAGAUCACAACCAGGCAAUUAGGAACGAAUAUGUGUGUAAAAACAUGUUGAGACGACAAUUGGCGGUCCCAUUUUGAAAUGUUGCACAUGUUAAGAGCUUGAACUUUGAAACUUAUUUUCCAUCCUUGUCUAUUUUGACUAGGAUCGCUCUUGUGAUCGGGUUCUCAAUGUUGAUGAUCGGGGCACUGGGUAAUUCAAAAUCGAGAGCUUCAUGCGGUUUCUCGCAUCGCCAUGUGUUGUCGAUCGGAGGGAUAGUGUGCUUCAUCCAUGGCCUGCUCGCUGUUGCUUACUACGUCACCGCCACCGCCGCUGCGUGGGAGGAAGGUAAGCCGCAGGUGACGACAAGGGAUGGCGGAAUUCAAGCUCAACCUUGAUUGCAACUACACACAUUUAUGCAUAUCGGUCCCUGUUGCUCUCUUUUUUUUUUUUUUCCUUUGUUAUAUUGUUCUUGCAUUUUGUUUAUCAUGAUGUAAUUGUUCUCCAUUGUAUUGAGUGGUGUGAUCUCUCGAUGUAGCGAAGUUCUCGUAUAUUCAAAUUCAAGGGAGGAAACAUAAUAUGGCAUUGUGAAAAUGAGGUUAAAUUUUUCGCGCGUGGUUAGCGACUGCAAUACGAAAUCUUUUCAUUUGCAGUAAAUCGAGUUUGUGAGUUUGUGCAUCUUCCUGCAUUGAAUUACUGGAUUGCUGUGAACAGAUUUUCUAGUUCCCAUUCAUUUGGGUUUCAAGUUCUGAGUUUGAGUAGCUCAAAAUUUCGAAAUUUAUUAUGCCGCAUUUAAUUUUUUUCAAUGAAGUUAUAUCUCUCAUGGAGUUUUCAAUUUUGUUUUGGGAACCAAUCAAUUUUAAAUUUGAUUUUGCCUUGGUGAAUUCAUUUUCUAUUUUUGAGAAACUGAGCCCAAAUUUGGAUCUUUCCUAAGAUUAUACCAUUUGAAAAUUUAAGGGCCAUAAUAUGGGCGUUGACCUAAGAUCGGAUCGGGCAAGCUAGACCCGAAACCCGACCCAAAUAUAGCAACCAUAUUCGAGAAGCCCUAACGUGCUCCAAAGCUCGGUGGCGUCGCCGAAGCGAAACUUAUAUACACAAUUACACAUCUCUCGACUGCGGCGUCGCGCGGCGCCGACUCCACCCGCUCCUCUCCCCGGCAAUGCCUCCGCCGGCCAUCGCCGCCACCUCCGCGGCGCACCUCGUCUCGCCGGAGUCGCUCGCCGCGGCGGGGCGCGCGGCGGAGCGGCUGAGCCUCCCGGCGCUGCAGUCGAAGAUGAAGUGCGACCCCGAGGGCUACGCGGCGGAGCUCCUCCUCCUCCGCCGCCACUUCGACUCCUCCCUCCACCUCUUCCGCCACCACUCCGCCCUCAACCCCUCCUCCUCCGCCUCCGACCACGCCGUCGCCAAGGAGGUCGGCGACCUCGCUAUGUUCCUCGCCCACGUCGCCCCCUUCUACCCGGACAAGCUCGCCGAUUUCCCCUCCCAGGUCGCCGAUCUCCUCCGCUCCGACGCCCGGUCCCUCCCCUCCUCCCUCCGCGUCCACCUCGCACAAGCCCUAAUCCUUCUCGUCAAUCGCAAGGUGCGAUUUUCCUCUUCUUCUCUCCCCAUGAUCACCAUCAUCAUUGUGAUUUUGUUCUAUGAAAUGCUUCGGGAAUGGUAGAUGAGUAGGAAUAUUAAGCUUUUAGUAUUCCUAGUAUUAACGGAAAAUUUGUAAUUUAUGGAAAAAAAAAAUGGUAGAUCAGUAGGAAAAGUUAAGUUUUUAGUACUCUUGUAUUAACGGCAAAAUCACAAUUUUUGAGAAAGUAGUAUUCUUGCAACAAAAAUGUGCGGCAUCAAAGGCAAGAGCUUUAAUUUUCAAAGAGAGUUGAUUCAACAGCAGGAGGACCAGACAAUCUCGAUAUAAAGUGUUAUAGUGGGAGUUACAGGGUGCUGAACCUUUAAAGCUUUAUCUAUGGGAAGCCCAUGGAAAGUUCUCGGCUUUUUGAUAUUUGUGUUCUUUGUUCCUGGUCAUAGCUAUAGUUAAAGUGUGCAUGAGGGCUCCUUUUUUUGUCAAGUCGAAGAGCCUGUUUGUGUAGGCUAUCGAGUAAUGAGUUAUGUUGGAUGGGAGCUCCCCAUUGGAUUGCAAUAUAGGUGAGUGUUUUUUAGCUGUUGCAAUUCCUUGUGAUAUUCUGAUGUUUUUCGCUUCUGAUAGAUUUGCCGAAAACAUGAUUUAUUAUAUCCUAUAAACCGACAGUACUUAAUCUUUUUUAGUCAGUUGUCGACACCUUGUGUCCACUACUACUAAAUUUUUUUACUGCAAGAAGAGAUAUACCGGAGGAAAAACUCUAUGAAGCUUGGGAUGGGUAUUAUAUUAUUUCGUUAGCCAUAGUGAGUGUGAUUUGACCUCUACAGCUGGAUGUUGGUAGCUCUGUUUGAGAUCUUCAAGUUCCAUUGAUGUUAUUUGAACUCAUAGUUGCAUCUUUAAAAUCCACUAUGGAUGUAUUGUAAAUUUUUCAUAGCUUGAGUUGUAUUACUCUUUUUGUUUUUAGAUUGCUGAGCAUGGCGACACAUUAGAAUUGUUUAUGGACCUUCAAACUCUCGGCGACCGUACAUUGAGAAAACUGGCCUUUUCACAUGUUGUGCACAGCAUUCGACGGAUGAAUCAAAAACAUAAAAAUGAGCCCAUGAACCGCAAAUUGCAGAAUAUUCUCUUUUCAAUACUACAGGUUUGUAGCAUCCUGUGUUCUUACUGGCGACGUGCGUCGCUCUGUUUUAACCUUUUCUCUCUAUACUUUUCUAUGGGCCUGUUUGGCCUGGUUAGAGGCUCGGAGCUUUUGGAAAAAUAUUUCAGCAGAGUUGUCGCAUAAAAAGUAACUGCAUCUUUGUCAAUAUCUCCUACAAAAGCUUCCUAUUGCUGUAGAAGCAGAAGCUUCAAACUGGAAUCUGUGCCUUGAGACCAAAUUGCUUACUCCAAUCUGUUUUAAGCCAAAUACUUUGUCUUGCCUUUUGGAAUGGAGCAGUUGUGUCAGAAUCCAAGCCAAAUAAACACCAAGUAAACAGUUGCUUUCUUCAAGACAAUAAUCAUAUUUGUGUCUAAUCUUGACAAUUGUAUACAACUUUGUCUUAUUAUAGGGCGAAGAAGAACUAAGAGCCAAAAGGUCUCUUACUGUUCUUUGUGACCUUCAUCGGCGGAAGGUGUGGUUUGAUGAUCGAACAGCAAACGGCAUAUGUGCAGCAUGUUUCCACCCAUCUUCAAGGUAAUUUUUCACCUUAUUUCACAUUUGGUUAUUGCAAUACUUCCAUACUUCAUUGUUUGAGUUGUUUGGGAGUUCAGGAUUAUGAUAGCUGCUCUUUCUUUCCUUCUCGGGUAUGAACAAGUUGAAGAAGAGGAUGAGAGUGAAGCCUCCAGUAGUGAAGAUGAUACCGCUGAACCAUCGCAAGUCAUUCUUAGCAGAGAGGCUGUUUACAAGGUACCCUGAUUCUUCAUGUUCUUCUCUUUUUAUCUUUUAAAUCCCUUAAACUUUUGGUAUAUUUUAGGAGCUACAGUUAAAAUUUUGUUUCUAUUCAUGUUGCUAGUUUCAGAGCAGCAGGAUGUCUUGUUGUUUGUAAAGUAACUGUACAUAAAAGCAUGCAAGAGGCUUGUCUCAGUCUCUCUCUCUCUCUCUUCCCUUUUUUGGGUCACAGCUAUUAUAUGUUGAUAUUUUCUGUAUAGGAUAUUGAUGGAGCCCUUCCAUUUCAAAUACCCAGUUCAUAAUAGUUUUUGUCGAUAAAAAUUAUUUAUGUAUGCUCCUAAGGCAAAAUUUUUUGAUCUUUUCUUCCUUAUAGGCACAUCACAAGGGUACCACUGCUAGCAAGAAAAAGAAGAAAGCUAAACUGCAGCGUGCUGUUCGUAGCAUGAAAAGACAACAAAAAAUAGCCUCGCAAAAUAACAGUUCCAAUUACUAUUCUCCCCUCACAUAUCUAAAAGAUCCACAGGUUGGAUCAUUGCUUGAACUAAUAGCUAUAACCUAUCUUGCUUAUCUUGUUUCCAGCUAAUAGAUUUUUUUUUUCAUUUAUUGUUUGCAGGGUUUUGCUGAAAAGCUGUUUUCUCGACUUCAGAAAUGUAAUGAGCGAUUUGAGGUCCCCCCCAUCUUCUUCUAUCCUUUAUUUUUGAAUAGUUGGCUAUUUGGCUAUUUUUCUUAUUCGUUAUGACUUCUGACUUCUAUCUCAUAAUCAAGUUAAAACUAUCUUCAGUAUUGAGAAUUAAAACAUAAUCUAAUUCAUUUUAUACGGCUCUCUCGUUUCCGGAUGUUUUGGGAAGUUCAAUGGUGGUUGGUUGUUUGGUCAUAAUUAGUGUUUGUCCUUAAUACGCCUCGGUUGAUACAAAGCAAUGUCUUAUUUGUUUAUAAACUUAUACUUCUUAUAUGUUGUUGUAAGUCGUAACAUGGGUCUCCUUUUUUUUUUUUCAGGUUAGGAUGAUGAUGUUAAAAGUAAUUUCUAGGACUAUUGGGUUGCAUCGUUUGAUAUUGUUAAAUUUCUAUCCAUUUCUUCAAAGAUAUGUUCAGGUAUGUUAUAUCAUUUAUGAAUAAGGAUGCUAACACAAGAUUGAAAUCAUGAAUCUUCUCAUCUUUUUGCCCUUUUUGUUGGCAGCCUCAUCAACGUGAUGUCACGACUUUGCUUGCUGCGGCAGUCCAGGCCUGCCAUGAUAUGGUCGUCCUUUCACUUAGUUUCUUUUUGUAGUUAAAAUUUUAAACUGAUGAGUUAUGUUGUACUGUUUUCUGUUUUUCGUAUAUUGAUUUGGCAAAUGUGUUUUUUUUUGUUCAAUAUUAGGUGCCGCCUGAUGCUGUGGAACCACUAUUUAAACAGAUAGUAAAUCAGUUUGUGCACGACCGCUCUCGCACAGAGGUACUGUGGAAUAUUUAUGUUUUUAGAUGUUUUAAGUCAUACCUAGUGGUUUAUUUCUCACUUUUAAUCGUCCAUAUUUGUUUACAUACAUAUUUAUUUAUAUAAUCUACUAUUCUGGCAUUGAGGAAAUAUACUAUUUCCCUUUGUUUGCUAGGCUAUUGCCGUUGGACUGAAUGUUGUGAGAGAGAUCUGUCUGCGGAUGCCUCUGGUAUUGUUUCCAUGUGAUUCGCUCUUGUUAAUAAAGAUGAAUUACUGUUAGUUAUUUACCUGGAUUUUUUAAAUUUAAUACUGGAGUUUAUUUUCUGUUUUCACAUUUUAUAUGCUGUUUUUAGUUUUCUUUUUUCAUUCACUUAAAUGUUAUUUUCUCAUGAACCCUUCAGCUGAUGAAUGAGGACUUGCUUCAAGACCUAGUUCUAUACAAGAAGUCGCACGAGAAAGCAGUUUCGACAGCUGCUCGAUCAUUAAUUACUCUAUUCAGAGAGGUUAAUCAAAUGAUACCUUAUUCUAUAAUUUUAUUUGAUGUCUUUUAAAAUUGUUUCAUUGAACUGGACUUUGAAUUUGAAUUCAGAUAUGCCCUUCUCUUUUGGUCAAGAAAGAUCGUGGCCGUCCAAUUGAUCCAAAAGCGAGACCAAAAGCUUUUGGAGAGGUCAAUGUGGCCAGCAAUGUACCUGGACUUGAGUUGCUGCAAGGACAUGUUGAUGAUGAUAUUGAUGAUGAUGAUGAAGAUGAAGGUUCUGAGGGAGAUCAAGAAAAUGAUGACGACGAAGUAGAUGAGGUAGAGGGGGAUGAUCAUGUUAGAUCUGAAGGUGAAGAUGAAGAAUUAACAGAUGGUGCUGAUGGAGAUGGGAGCUAUGAUGACUCUGGUGAUGAUGAUGAUAAUGAUGACGAUGGUGAAGAAGAAGAGGAGGAUGAUGAAGAUGAUGAAGUGGUGACUAAAAAGGUUAAAGAAGAGCCUAAUAUUAACGACCAUGAUAAUGAUGAUGAGGAUGAUGAUGAUGAUGAUGAUGAUGAUGGUGAUGGUGAUGAUGAUGGUGGUGGUGGUGGCGAGGGCACUCACCCAGUUAGUAGUGAUGAGGAAAAGGUGAAAGAAGAUGAAUUAUUGAGAGGAGAGAAGAGAAAGUUGUCGGAUUUCAUUGGGCAGCUAAAUGCUGCAGAUGUGAGCCUUCGAGCUUUAAAGAGAGUUGCAGGCUCUCAAAGGGCACGAAAUUUGCCUAAUGAAACUGAUGGAAUACUUUCUAAUGAAGAUUUCCAGCAUAUUAAGGAGCUGAUGGUAAGUUGUUUCUGACAUUUGUUGCACAUUUUUUCUGCAAAGAGGCUUUAUCCAUUUCCUAUUAGAGGAUAUUUCCAGUGAAUUUCUGCUCUAGCCUAUCUCAGUGGUCUUUUUAGCCUGCCCAGGGCUACCAAAGUGAUUUCUUCAUACUUCGUAGAGCUGUCCGAAAAAGCACUACCAGCAUCUAUUUUGAAAUGUCCCCCAAAAGCUUUAUGUUCCACCAAAGGCACAAGCUUCCCAACUACAGGAAAUGCUCUAGAGUUUUUGUUUACCAAAUGCCUGGCUACUGCCUUGCGGACUGCUAUCUUAAACUUUGGUCCUGGAAAUAGACCUAUUUGUAGGAGGAUGUCGCCACAAACUUUAGUACGCCAUCUUGGCCUUCACAAAGAUUAUACAAAUAUUUACAAAUAAAUAAUUGAUUUCAUUUUUUUUUUUUCAGUUCCGCAUGUAAUUAUGGGGACAGUAACAGUUUGCAUGAAUUGAAUGUUUAGGCAAAGAAAGAUGCUAAGCUCUCCAUGGCUCGGGAAGGUCUUUCAGCAAAGGGUUCAGAUUCCAGAAUAAAAAUCCCUUCUUCUGAGCAGCUUAGUGUAAAACGUGUCGAUCCUGCUAAACUUGAGGUGAGUCAUCAAUCCCUCUAGUUAUUAGUUGCUUUCUGUUCUAUGUUAACCUUUCCUGUUAACCACCCAUUACUUGUGUGGUGAUAAGUGAAGCUUGUGAAGAAUAUAUCAUGAUAAACAUUCUUCUAUACGCUCUGUCAUUUUACAUACACAAUAUUAUAUCUAAAGUAGCUUAUUGUUCCUCCUCCUUACAAACCAAUACAGGUAAACAUUAAAAGAAAGCGUACCAGUGAAGAGAAAUUGGCGGCAGUGAAAGCUGGGAGGGAGGAGAGAGGAAAGUACCAGGCUAGGACGGCCGUGAAGCAGAAAAAGGUACCUGUCCAAAUUCAUUACUACGCUCAAUUGUGCCGGGUCUAUUUCCGAUUGGGUUUCUCUGUUAAAUGUUUUUCUAUUGGGUUUCACUGAAUUUAUGAGAUAAUGAUUCUUAGAUUUGGUCCAAGGGGUUAAAUCUACAACCAUUAGAUUGGUGUUUAGCAUACUUAUUAUUUAUAAUAAAUAUAUAACACCAUGAUGUAUUUUUCCCCAAUCAUUUAUUCCAUUUCCCUUUUUUUAAGAGAAGCAGAGAACUGUUAUCUUCUUUUUUCAUUUUCAAACUGAAUCGAAUUAAUCAGGAUGCAUCAGUUCAACUCUGAAUUUGCUCUCUCCUCUCUCUCACACACACAAGCACACACCAGAAUAUUUCCUUUGGUUAAAGUUACUGUAUCAGUUUAUGAGGUGUUCGAAACUGAUUGAAAUGUUGGUGCAUUGGUUGAUUCAGACUGGCGGGCUGAGUAACCGGCAGAAAGAGCACAAGAAGUCGAUGCCUUCCGCCGCGAAGAGGGCGAAGGCGGUUCGUUCGCGACAAGAGAGGAAGAAGAAACAAAGGCACUCCGGCAAGAAUUUCUUGGGCAAAAAAGCUUGGAAAUAGGGGAAAAAAAAAUUCACCUAUAAAUUUGCCUCUCCCUUUUGUACUCAAGCAUCUAAAAUUUUGACUUGUACUAUUUUUUGCCUUAUUUAAUGAGGAACAUAAAUCUUAGGUUUUUGUUGGUUGGCAGUGAGUGAAAGGUGUUAGUAAAUUGGCAAAUGUUGAUAGAGAAAAUUUAGGUCUUGAUUUGUGGCCUUAACCUUUUUGUUUUUUCCUACUUAAAUUUUAUGUGGUUUCCUGUGUAGACGGUUGCUCUAGGUGGCAUAAUUUUGUUAACUGCAUGAUCAGAUGAUGCUUUUCGAAGUAGAGAACUUGUGCCAGAAGUAAUGCUAAUGGGGCAAUCAAUCACUCAAUCACAAGAUUGGACGAAAAAACUGACAAAAUAAAAGGCAUCUUGUGGCAUCCAAUUCACAUUUGCAAAAGAAAAUAGGCUUCACUUCCAUAUAUAGGAUGGAAUAAAUAAAAUACCCUAGAGAGCCUUAAAUUGGUGAUAUAUGCAUGCUGAUAUGAAUCAAAAUUGUAAUGUAAAGCAUAAAAUACAUCUGAAACAAAUUCGUCGAACAUAAAGAGGAGAAAAACAGAAACAUGGAACUAUAUGCAAUUCAGACAAUCUGCUUCAUGUUAAGUGUGAUUACUCCUUCGCCUUCGUUCUUUCCUUGAUCACCUUUUUCCAAUUUUCUGCACUGUCGAUUACUUCGCCGGUCUUAAUGAGAUAGCGAACUCUUGUGCCGUCCUCGAGAAUUUUAUGCCCCACUCUGCUUGCUACCUGCUGUUCUUUCGAGUACAGCAUCACAUUCGAGCUGUGAAUAGCUGCUUCAAUCUGUUCGCAGGAAAAAAAAGAAGUUAAUCGCACAAGUAUUCUUUUGGAAUCUCAUUGAGUUUCUAGUUAUGACUCUAUUGAAAUGCAGGAAAACUCUCUUUACAUAUCGUAGUCUUAACACCUCCGUCCCUGAAACUUCGAAACAUAUAGUUAACUUCUACUAACAUAUGUGCAAGGUCAUAGAUUUUGUCGAAUGGAACAAGGAGAAGUGAUGAAAUCUUAUAUAGUUUACAGCAACAUAUAUAGGUUAGGUGUAAAGAGAAUAUCUUAUGAUAUAAAUACUGGGAUGUUCCUGCAAUUUAACUGGAAGACUAGAAGAUCCCCUACCUUUACAAUUUGACCUGGCUCUCCUUGUUCUCUGCUUUUCAUGUGCUUGGUCUUCAAGUUCAUGUCCUUGACAAUCACAGUGCUGUUAUGCCUGAAAAUUUGAGUAAUUUCUCCAACUUUACCCUUUUCGCGGCCCGCGAUAAUCUUUACUGUGUCACCAACUUUAACGUGCAUCUUAUGCAACACCGGGAGGCUGUUGGGCUUGCAUUCCUUGCGCUCCCAUCGCUUAAGCUGCGAAAGGAAGACAAGAUUUCCACAAUAUCAUAGGCCAGUUCAAUACGUUGAUGCACGCGUCCAACUACAUGCAUGCCGAUCGAUGAUUCAUUGUAUAUAUACUGAGGAGCAAAUAUGAUUCAGAAAUUAUUACUAGCUUAUCGAAUGCAGAACGGAAGAAAUGUACUGACCUUCAUUACUAUGGCACAUGGUUUGUCCAGAAUUUUGAUCUGCAUGCCAAAAUCACAGGCAUUAGAACUUUCAGACGAAGAACAAGGGAACAGAUGAAUAGAUAAACAGAUGAUCAUGUACUAAUACAAGCGAGAAUCAGCAUAAUAAUUUUGUCAAUGAUUUUUCUGAAAGAAAAGUGCAAGAAUUCCUAGUUGUAUGAUCCAAAUAGAUAUUCUAUGUAUCAUGAACCUAGGUUAGGAGAAUUGUUAUUCCAAUUUAGGUUAUCUUCAUUUUACUUGAGAAAUACUUUGCCAUUUUGCAGUUAUUGAAGUUACAAAAAGAAAAAGGAAGGGACAUUCUUUUUACACUUUGCAAAAACUUGAAAACUUUUGAACUAAAAUGAUAGCAAGUUAUGAAGUUAAAAAAAUAUAUAUAUACAGAAAAGAAGCAGCAGCAUGCAUUCCAUGUCUUGAAUCUGAGAUGUUUGGAAAUGCAAUCAACAAAAGAAAACCAGAAAUGGUGCCAUUGGCACUCUAAACCAUUAAGAAAAUCGAUAUAUUGAGUCUAACAUGCGAGCACCAGAUUCUCAAAACUUCAAACCAGGAGUCAACUCAUUCGACAUUGAAAUCCUCGACUGCAUUUGGGUCGGAUAUGUUGUUAGGAAAUCGAUAUCCCUUACAGUGAUAAGACUAAAACCGAUACCCCACGGAUUCCUAGUGCUAAAGUGAGAAGAUUCAAACAAUUAUAUUGGCAUUUAUUUUGCUUUUUUUUUAUCACCACGAAUACUAAUUGAGAAGUAUAACCAGAAAAAUCCAAAUCCAGAAUACCUCUUGCUUAGCUUUUCUGAAGAAAACAGUGCGUGUCGCAGCCACUCUAUCCAAUUCUACUAAGGGAAGGCAUAAGCUCUAGUUUAUCAUAGAUCAUAACAAAACAUAUUUUGCAGCAUUCCUGAGGGUAAUGCAGCACACGAAAGAGAGAAAGAGAAGGCCAAAGGCCGCAAUUUUGAUACAUUGCCGACGAAUUCCUCAGCAUACAUCUACACAUUUUGGGCACUUUUGAAAGCACCAGCUUCAUCAACUGCUCAAAAUUCUCAGGCAUUUUAGGCCCAAACACGCAAAAGAAUUCGAAAUCGAAAAAAUGGCGAACUUCGGGCAUUCGAAAGCUCCGCAGUGUAUCAACUACCAGGUACAAUUAGAAGCAGAAAAUUUGCAUUUACACUAACCCAAACCCAAUUUUUUAUUUUUUUUUUAAAAAACAUGUUCUGUAUAAUUUCCUCAACCAUUCUUCUACAAUCACAAGAAAUUUUUAAUAUAACCCGAUCAAAAUCGCAAAAGGAAGCAACUUUAUUCUUCCAUGAACACAUUUCUCGUCAAAAUGGGGGGCGAAAACCCAAGAACCCAAUCGAAAAGCCCUCGGCUUUACCCAUGAUAGUGGUAAAACGAGAGAACCCCGAUGACAAAAUCCGCUCAAAACUACAAACCGAGCCAUACCCAUCGCUCCGGAGCUCAAAAUGGGAACCAUACGGAGAAGGGGAGAGGGAGAGGGGGAGAGAGAGAAGCUGACCGAGGAAGGGGAGGAGGGGAGGAAGGGGGAGAGGCGGAGGCCGAAGAAGGAGUUGGAGAUGGAGUUGGAGAUGGAGAGCCCCGCCAUGGAGCUCUGGAGCGCCAUUAUCGUCGCCAUCUUCGUCGUCGUCGUCGUCUUCUUCCUUCGUUCUCCUUCGCCUCGCUCGCUACUCCCCAAGCGUUCGGAGAUGAUAACGCUCGACUUCUUCGCAAAUAUGCGCAUAGACCCCUCACCUAUACCUAAUUCUAAAUAUAUCCCUCAAAUAGCUAUUUUAGUAAACUAUAGUAAGACUAAAAUAGCUAUUCUUAGAGUGUUUGAGUAGCAAAUUUUUUUUCGCAAAAAUAGGAGUAUGUAUAUUUUAAAAUUUUUUUUUCCUUUUUGGUUGUCACUAACAUCAUUAUUUUGGUGAAAUAUAGUAAAUCUAAGAUAGCUUUUAAAUUCAAAUAUUAGAGUUUUUUAUAAUAAAUUUUUUUUUGCAAAAUAUUUAUCAGGGUACGUAUAUUUUUAAAAAAAUUUCUUUUUUCCUUUUUAUUGUUAGGAACAGCUCCAUUUUGGUGAUCUAUAGUAAAUCUAAAAUAAUUAUUAAAUACAAAUAUUAGAGUCUUUGAGUAGGAAAAAUUUUUGUGCAAAAAAUAUACGGGUAUGUAUAUUUUUCAAAAAAUUAUAUUUUUCUAUUUUAUUGUCACGGACAGCAUCAUUUUGGUGAACUGUAGUAAGGCUAAAAUAGCUAUUAAAUUCAAAUAUUAGAGUCUUUGAUUAGCAAAAAAAAAUUUGCAAAAAAUUUAUAGGAGUAUGUAUAUAUUUUUUGAAAAAUUAUUUUUUUUUGUUGUCAGGAACAACGCUAUUUUGAUGAACUACAAUAAGACUAAAAUAGCUAUUAAAUUCAAAUAUUAGAGUAUUUGAGUAGCAAAAAUUAUUUUUUUGCAAAAUUUUUUUUUUCCUUUUUGUUGUCAAGAACAACACUAUUUUGGUGAACUAUAAUAAGGCUAAAAUAGCGAUUCUUAGAGUUUUUGAAUAGCAAAAUUUUUUUUGCCAAAAUAGGAGUAUGUACAUUUAAAUUUUUUUUUCCUUUUUUGUUGUCACGAACAGCACCAUUCUGGUAAACUAUAAUAAGGCUAAAAUAGCUUUUUAAUUCAAACAUUAGAGUCUUUGGUAAUAAAAAUUUUUUUGCGAAACAUUUAUGAGAGUAUAUAUAUUUUUUUAAUUUUUUUUUCUUUUUAUUGUCACAAACAGCUCCAUUUUGGUGACACAUAGUAAGUCUAAAAUAAUUAUUAAAUUUAAAUAUUAGAGUCUUUAGUAUGAAAAAUUUUUGUGCAAAAAAUAUAGUGGUAUGUAUAUUUUUUAAAAAAAUUAUAUUUUUCUAUUUUGUUGUCAUGGACAGCAUCAUUUUGGUGAACUGUAGUAAGGCUAAAAUAGCUAUUAAAUUCAAAUAUUAGUCUUUGAUUAGCAAAAAUUUUUUUGCAAAAAAAUUAUAAGUGUAUGUAUAUUUUUUUUUAAAUUAUUUUUUUCUGUCGUAACAAGCAGCUCCAUUUUGAUGAACUAUAGCAAGGCUAAAAUAACUAUUAAAUUCAAAUAUUAAAGUCAUUGAGUAUUUUCCUUUUUUCUUGUCAUGAACAGCAUUAUUUUGGUGAACUAUAGUAAAGCUAAAAUGACUAUUCUUAGAGUCUUUGAAUAGCAAAAGUCUUUUUGCAAAAAUAGGUGUAUGUAUAUUUUUAUAAUUUUUUUNACCCCCCCUGUGGUUUCAUGCAUUCUCACUUUCAUACCCUGUGGUUUAAAACGUAUCAAUUUGCCCCCCUGUGGUUUCAUUUUUCUCUUUUUGUUAUCAAUUUUAUUAUUUUUUUUUUCUUAAAUCAGUGACAAAAUUAAAAUUAAAGGAUACUAAAGUGAAUAUUCGAUAAACAUAGAUGGUUAUCUGAAGUUUUUUGUAUAUAAUUUAACGAAAUAUUAACGAAAAAGCUUCUGAAAAGAUAAAAACGAAACCACAGGGGGGGCAAAUUGAUACGUUUUAAACCACAGGGUACUAAAGUGAGAAUGCAUGAAACCACAGGGGGGGUUUUUGAAGUUUUCCCUAAAUUCAAAUAUUAGAGUCUUUGAAUAGCAAAAAUUUUUGUGCAAAAAACUUAUAGGGGUAUGUAUAUUUGUUAAAAAAUUAUAUUUUUCUAUUUUGUUGUCACAGACAGCAUUAUUUUGGUGAACUGUAGUAAGGCUAAAAUAACUAUUAAAUUCAAAUAUUAGAGCAAAAAAAUUUUUGCAAAAAAUUUAUAGGAGUAUGCAUAUUUUUUAUUUUUUAUUUUUUUUUUUGUCACGAUCAGCACCAUUUUGAUCAACUACACUAUGGCUAAAAUAGCUAUUAAAUUAAAAUAUUAGAGUCUUUGAGUAGAAAAAAAAAAUUUUUUUUGCAAAAUUUUUUUUCCUUUUUUGUUGCCAGGCACAACAAUGUUUUGGUGAACUAUAUUAAGAUAAAAUAGCCAUUCUUAGAGUCUUUGAGUAGCAAAAGUUUUUUUGCAAAAAUAGGUGUAUGUAUAUUUUAAUUUUUUUUUUUUUUUUGUUGUCACAAACAACACCAUUUUGGUGAACUAUAAUAAGCUAAAAUAGCUAUUAAAAUCAAAUAUUAGAGUUUUUAAGUAACAAAACAAUUUUUGCAAAAAAUUUAUAGGACUAUGUUUUUUUUUUUCUUUCUGUUCUCACGAACAGUACAAUUUUCGGUGAACUAUAGUAAGUCUAUAAUUGCUAUUAAAUUCAAAUAUUAAAGUCUUUAAAUAGCAAAAAUUUUUGUGCAAAAAAUUUAUAGGGGGGGAGGGGUGGGGGGUUGUGUAUAUUUUUUAAAAAAAUUAUAUAUAUAUUUUUUGUUGUCGCGAACAACAUUAUUUUAGAGAACUAUAGUAAGGCUAAUUAAAUUCAAAUAUUAGAGUCUUUAAUUAGCAAAAAAUUUUUUGCAAAAAAAAUUUGUUUUUCUUUUUUGUUGUCGAGAACAACACUAUUUUGAUAAACUAUAGUAAGGCUAAAAUAGUUAUUCUUAGAGUCUUUCCGUAGCAAAAUUUUUUUUGUAAAAAUAGGAGUAUGUAUAUUUAAAAAACAAAUAUUUCUUUUUUGUUGUCACGAACAGCACCAUUUUGGUGAACUAUAGAAUGGCUAAAAUAGCUAUUAAAUUCAAAUAUUAGAGUCUUUGAUUAUUAAAAUUUUUUUUGCAAAAAAUUUACAGGAGCAUGUAUAUAUAUAUUUUUAAUUUUUUUAUUUUUUGUUCACACGAACAGCGCCAUUUUGAUGAACUAUAGUAAGACUAAAAUAACUAUUAAAUUUAAAUAUUAGUGUCUAUAAGUAGCAAAAAUUAUUUUUUUGCAAAUUUUUUUUUUCCUUUUUUAUUGUCAAGAACAACACUAUUUUGGUUAACUAUAGUAAGGCUAAAAUAGCUAUUCUUAGAGUUUUUGAGUAGCAAAAGAUUUUUUGCAAAAAUAGGUGUAUGUAUAUUUUAAAUUUUUUUUUCUUUUUUUAAGUCACGAACAACACCAUUUUGGUGAACUAUAGUAAGCUAAAAUAGCUAAUAAAAUCAAAUAUUAGAGUCUUUAAGUAACAAAAUAUUUUUUCCAAAAAAAUUAUAGGAGUAUGUAUAUUUUUUUAAAACUUUUUUUUUCUUUUUGUUCUUACGAACAGUAUCAUUUUUAGUGAACUAUAGUAAGUCUAUAAUAGCUAUUAAAUUCAAAUCUCAGAGUCUUUGAAUAGCAGAAAUUUUUGUGCAAAAAAUUUAUAGGGGUAUGUAUAUAUUUUUAAAAAAUUAUAUUUUUUCUUUUUUGUUGUCACGAACAACAUUAUUUUGGUGAAAUAUAAUAAGGCUAAAAUAGCUAUUAAAUUCAAAUAUUAGGGUGUGUUUGGUUCGCUUCUUUUUCACCCUGGAAUCGGAAUUGGAAUGGGUAAAUCCCUUUGUGGGUGUUUGGUAAGCAGGAGUCUCAUUCCGAUUCCGAUUCCCGAGUGGAAUGGGAAUCCCCCAAUCAUCUCUUUUUUCAAUCCGGCUUAGAAGGCUAGGCCGGAUUGGAAAUUGAAUCCCGACGGAAUGGACAUUUAUUCGGAUUAAAUUUAUUUUUUCAAUUUUUUUAAUUAAAAUAUGAGUUAAAAUUUAAAAAUUAAAUAUAUAAUUUUAAAUUUUAAUUUGAACUUAAAUUAAAAAUUAAAAUUUAAUCAAGUAUUUCGAAUCUAACUUAUUAAUUUGAAUUUAAAUUAAAUUUUAAUUUAUAUAAAGUUUUAUUCAAAUUUUAUUUCAAACUUAAAUUAAAUAUA
rnacentral:lncRNA from 1 species